rnacentral:rRNA from 1 species
CAGCAGCCGCGGUAAAACGGAGGGUGCAAGCGUUAAUCGGAAUUACUGGGCGUAAAGCGCACGCAGGCGGUCUGUCAAGUCGGAUGUGAAAUCCCCGGGCUCAACCUGGGAACUGCAUUCGAAACUGGCAGGCUAGAGUCUUGUAGAGGGGGGUAGAAUUCCAGGUGUAGCGGUGAAAUGCGUAGAGAUCUGGAGGAAUACCGGUGGCGAAGGCGGCCCCCUGGACAAAGACUGACGCUCAGGUGCGAAAGCGUGGGGAGCAAACAGGAUUAGAUACCCCUGUAGUCCCUGUCUCUUAUAC